rnacentral:rRNA from 1 species
GACGAACGCUGGCGGCGUGCCUAAUACAUGCAAGUCGAACGCUUCUUUCCUCCCGAGUGCUUGCACUCAAUUGGAAAGAGGAGUGGCGGACGGGGGAGUAACACGUGGGUAACCUACCCAUCAGAGGGGGAUAACACUUGGAAACAGGUGCUAAUACCGCAUAACAGUUUAUGCCGCAUGGCAUAAGAGUGAAAGGCGCUUUCGGGUGUCGCUGAUGGAUGGACCCGCGGUGCAUUAGCUAGUUGGGGAGGUAACGGCUCACCAAGGCCACGAUGCAUAGCCGACCUGAGGGGGUGAUCGGCCACACUGGGACUGAGACACGGCCAAGAGUCCUACGGGAGGCAGCAGUAGGGAAUCGUCGGCAAUGGACGAAAGUCUGACCGAGCAACGCCGCGUGAGUGAAGAAGGUUUUCGGAGCGUAAAACUCUGUUGUUAGAGAAGAACAAGGACGUUAGUAACUGAACGUCCCCUGACGGUAUCUAACCAGAAAGCCACGGCUAACUACGUG